rnacentral:rRNA from 1 species
GACGAACGCUGGCGGCGUGCCUAAUACAUGCAAGUCGAACGCAGUGGGGACGGGUGAGUAACACGUGGGUAACCUACCAUCAGAGGGGAUAACACUUGGAAACAGGUGCUAAACCGAUACUGAUGGAUGGACCCGCGGUGCAUUAGCUAGUUGGUGAGGUAACGGCUCACCAAGGCCACGCUGCAUAGCCAGCCGUGGAGGGUGAUCGGCCACACUGGGACUGAACAACGGCCCAGACUCCUACGUGAGGCAGCAGGAGGGAAUCUUCGGCAAUGGACGAAAGUCGGACCGAGCAACGCCGCGUGAGUGAAGAAGGUUUGCGGUUCGUAAAACUCUGUUGUUAGAGAAGCGGUAUCUAACCAGAAAGCCACGGCUAACUACGUGCCAGCCGCCGCGGUAAUAC